UAUUAUUUUUUGUAUAAAAUCUCAACAGAUCAUCCUUCUGCCUAUACAUACAGCAGAGGUCUAACAGAAAGUGGUCCCAACUAAUGAGAUAAUGACACAUAAAGCAAGGAUAUAAUAGACAAUACAAAUAUAAGGAUUGAUAAAAUCAUAAACUACUGAAAGUGUCUCUACUGAUAAUUUCUGCUACAUUUUUAAUAAGGAGCUGCUGCAUCCACUUGUAAGCUCCAGGUGCUUCCAACAUGCAUGAUCCAACGGCUAUGAACCAACUCCUUUCUACCAUCCUUUUUGACCCGUAGACUUCAGAACAACAUCACUUCACUUCGUCUUCCUCCUUCUCGACUUCACUUCCAAAAACUCUGCCUUUUUCUUCCAUUCGUUCGUCGACUGUAACAAUUCCCCACUGUUAGAACACCUUGCCUACAAGGUGGGGAUACUGAUUUUUCAACCCUGCGUACGACUCCUAAGUGGCAUCCUCCAGUCACUGCCCAUGCCAUCAUAUCAGCACCUUCGUGCACGACUUGUUGUUCUUCUUCACCAUGCGACAGGCUAUAGCUUCAUCGGGCUCGGGUUUCAAGGUUCCUGCGGCGUCAAUGGCUGGUAGGGUUGCUAAAGGUGUGACCUUUGCCCUGAUUUUCCUCUUUAGUUGGGACACAUGGAAUGUGGCGUGGAUCUUGGCAGAUGGGGGUAGAUCCAAACGAUAGGCCACAAAACCGACCCUCUCCAGCCCUUGAAAUAGGUCGUAGUACCUCGGAGCUAGCUUGAGGUUCCUCCUUUACGACACCAAAGUCUGUCUAUAGGGCUGUAAACGAAGUAGACCCACUCCCCCACGGUAAACUCCCUCUCCGAUCUCUUCAAGUCUGCAUAUUUCUUCAUUCGUUCUUGGGCCCGAUGUAGAUUUAAUUUGAGGGUCUUCAUCAUUUGUUCUCUGUUUUUCAACUCUUCAUCUACUAAUUCGUUAGUUGAUGUACCUGGCAUGUAACUUCUGAGGCAAGGUGGGGCAUACCCAUAGAGGGCCUUGAAUGGAGACAGCUUCGUGGAGGAGUGAACAUUGGUGUUGUACCACCAUUCGACUAAGGAAAUCCACUUGGACCAGUUCCUUGGCUGAUCUCCAGCAAAGCAGCGAAGUUCCAUGGUCAAGGCUGCUAGUUGAUUGUUGACCUCCC